rnacentral:rRNA from 1 species
UACGAAGGGGGCUAGCGUUGCUCGGAAUUACUGGGCGUAAAGGGCGCGUAGGCGGCCUUCUAAGUCGGACGUGAAAUCCCUCGGCUUAACCGGGGAACUGCGUCUGAUACUGGAUGGCUUGAGUUUGGGAGAGGGACGCGGAAUUCCAGGUGUAGCGGUGAAAUGCGUAGAUAUCAGGAGGAACACCGGUGGCGAAGGCGGCUCUCUGGACGGUGACUGACGCUGAGACGCGAAAGCGUGGGGAGCAAACAGG